GAUGAAGAACGUAGCGAAAUGCGAUAAGUAAUGUGAAUUGCAGAAUUCAGUGAAUCAUCGAAUCUUUGAACGCACAUUGCGCCCAUCAGUAUUCUGUUGGGCAUGCCUGUCCGAGCGUCAUUUCAACCCUCAGGGCCCGUUCGCGGGAACUGGUGUUGGGGAUCGGCCUCCCCCCGGAGGCCGGCCCCGAAAUGCAGUGGCGGCUCUACCGCGAUCUCCUCUGUGUAGUAGCGAUACCUCGCAGCUGGAUAGUGGUGGUGCCACGCCGUAAAAUCCCAACUUUACCAAGGUUGACCUCGGAUCAGGUAGGAAUACCCGCUGAACUUAAGCAUAUCAAAAGCGGAGGA
rnacentral:misc_RNA from 1 species